rnacentral:piRNA from 1 species
UAAAAUGAUCUUGCCUAACUUCUCU